rnacentral:rRNA from 1 species
UACGGAGGAUGCAAGCGUUAUCCGGAAUGAUUGGGCGUAAAGGGUCCGCAGGUGGCAAUGUAAGUCUGCUGUCAAAGAAUGAGGCUUAACCUCAUCAAGGCAGUGGAAACUACAUAGCUAGAGUAAGGUAGGGGUAGAGGGAAUUCCUGGUGUAGCGGUGAAAUGCGUAGAGAUCAGGAAGAACACCGGUGGCGAAAGCGCUCUGCUGGACCUUAACUGACACUGAGGGACGAAAGCUAGGGGAGCGAAUGGG